AACGAACGCUGGCGGCAUGCCUAACACAUGCAAGUCGAACGAGACCUUCGGGUCUAGUGGCGCACGGGUGCGUAACGCGUGGGAACCUGCCCUUAGGUUCGGAAUAACUCCCCGAAAGGGGUGCUAAUACCGGAUAAUGUCUUCGGACCAAAGAUUUAUCGCCUUUGGAUGGGCCCGCGUUGGAUUAGCUAGUUGGUAGGGUAAAAGCCUACCAAGGCGACGAUCCAUAGCUGGUCUGAGAGGAUGAUCAGCCACACUGGGACUGAGACACGGCCCAGACUCCGACGGGAGGCAGCAGUGGGGAAUAUUGGACAAGGGGCGAAAGCCUGAUCCAGCAAUGCCGCGUGAGUGAUGAAGGCCUUAGGGUUGUAAAGCUCUUUUACCCGGGAUGAUAAUGACAGUACCGGGAGAAUAAGCACCGGCUAACUCCGUG
rnacentral:rRNA from 1 species